AACGAACGCUGGCGGCGCGCCUAACACAUGCAAGUCGAACGAGAAUCCGGGGCAACCCGGUAGUAAAGUGGCAAACGGGUGAGGAAUACAUGGGUAACCUACCCUUGAGAAGGGAAUAACCCGCCGAAAGGUGAGCUAAUACCCUAUACGCUAUCUUUUUUUCGAAAAGGAAUAGGAAAGACCGGGUCGGAGGACCUGGUACUCAAGGAGGGGCUCAUGUCCUAUCAGCUUGUUGGUGGGGUAACGGCCUACCAAGGCUACGACGGGUAGCUGGUCUGAGAGGAUGAUCAGCCACACUGGCACUGAGAUACGGGCCAGACUCCUACGGGAGGCAGCAGUGAGGGAAUAUUGCGCAAUGGGCGAAAGCCUGACGCAGUCGACGCCGCGUGGGGGAUGAAGGUUUUCGGAUUGUAAACCCUUUCAUGAGGAAAGAUAAAGUGGGUAACCACUUAGACGGUACCUCAAGAAGAAGCCACGGCUAACUUCGUGCCAGCAGCCGCGGU
rnacentral:rRNA from 1 species